GUAGGUGGCAAGCGUUGUCCGGGAAUUAUUGGGGCGUAAAGCGCGCGCAGGCGGUUCUUUAAGUCUGAUGUGAAAGCCCACGGGCUCAACCGUGGGAGGGUCAUUGGAAACUGGAGAACUUGAGUACAGAAGAGGAAAGCGGAAUUCCACGUGUAGCGGUGAAAUGCGUAGAGAUGUGGAGGAACACCAGUGGCGAAGGCGGCUUUCUGGUCUGUAACUGACGCUGAGGCGCGAAAGCGUGGGGAGCAAACAGGAUUAGAUACCCUGGUAGUCCACGCCGUAAACGAUGAGUGCUAAGUGUUAGGGGGUUUCCGCCCCUUAGUGCUGCAGCUAACGCAUCAAGCACUCCGCCUGGGGAGUACGGCCGCAAAGGCUGA
rnacentral:rRNA from 1 species